rnacentral:rRNA from 1 species
GGUUGGCUCAGAAGCAGCCAUCCUUUAAAGAGUGCGUAACAGCUCACUAGUCGAAUGACUCUGCGCCGAUAAUUUACCGGGGCUAAGCAUACUACCGAAGCUAUGGAUCCCAAGGGAUGGUAGGGGAGCGUUCCAUGAACGGAGAAGCGCGAUCGAGAGGACGCGUGGAGAUCAUGGAAGAGAGAAUGCCGGUGUGAGUAGCGGAACGUGGGUGAGAAUCCCACGCACCGAAAACCCAAGGUUUCCAGAGGAAGGUUCGUCCGCUCUGGGUAAGUCGGGACCUAAGGCGAGGCCGAGAGGCGUAGUCGAUGGACAACAGGUAGAGAUUCCUGUACUCAUAUAUAUGUGAAGGAAUGACGGAGAGAGGAAGCUGCAGCCAGCGGCUGGAAGAGCUGGUGCAAGCGAGAUAUCGGGAUGGCAGGCAAAUCCACCAUCCGAAACGAGAAGGCGUGAAGCGUACGGAAAGCUAAGGCGAGUACGGAAGGCAGUGGAGGAGCUUCCAAGAAAAGUUUCUAACGAAAGUAUAUGUGACCCGUACCGAAAAUGGACACACAUGGGUGAGGAGAGAAUCCUAAGGUGAGCGAGAGAACUAUAGCUAAGGAACUCUGCAAAAUGACUCCGUAACUUAGGGAGAAGGAGUGCUCAUAGAGAUAUGAGCCGCAGUGAAACGGCCCAAGCGACUGUUUACCAAAAACACAGCUCUCUGCUAAGCCGCAAGGCGAAGUAUAGGGGGUGACGCCUGCCCGGUGCUGGAAGGUUAAGGGGAGGGGUUAACGCAAGUGAAGCCCUGAACUGAAGCCCCAGUAAACGGCGGCCGUAACUAUAACGGUCCUAAGGUAGCGAAAUUCCUUGUCAGGUAAGUUCUGACCCGCACGAAAGGCGUAACGAUUUGGGCGCUGUCUCAGCUGUAGACUCGGUGAAGUCUUAGUACCUGUGAAGAUGCAGGUUACCCGCGACUAGACGGAAAGACCCCAUGGAGCUUCACUGCAGGUUGAUAUUGGGAUUUGAUGCAGCAUGUACAGGAUAGGUAGGAGGCAAAGAGAUGGAUACGCCAGUAUUCAAGGAGCCGCUGUUGGGAUACUACCCCUGUUGUAUUGGAUUUCUAACCGGACGACGUAAAGCCGUUGACGGGACAGUGUCAGUCGGGCAGUUUGACUGGGGCGGUCGCCUCCCAAAGAGUAACGGAGGCGCCCAAAGAUACCCUCAGCUUGGAUGGAAACCAAGCGCAGAGUGCAAAGGCAAAAGGGUGUUUGACUGCGAGACCUACAAGUCGAGCAGGGACGAAAGUCGGGCUUAGUGAUCCGGCGGUGCUGAAUGGAAAGGCCGUCGCUCAACGGAUAAAAGCUACCCUGGGGAUAACAGGCUGAUCUCCCCCAAGAGUUCACAUCGACGGGGAGGUUUGGCACCUCGAUGUCGGCUCAUCGCAUCCUGGAGCGGAAGUACGUUCCAAGGGUUGGGCUGUUCGCCCAUUAAAGCGGUACGCGAGCUGGGUUCAGAACGUCGUGAGACAGUUCGGUCCCUAUCUGUCGUGGGCGCAGGAAAUUUGAGAAGAGCUGUCCUCAGUACGAGAGGACCGGGAUGGACGCAUCAAUGGUGGACCAGUUGUCACGCCAGUGGCAUAGCUGGGUAGCUAAAUGCGGAAGGGAUAAACGCUGAAGGCAUCUAAGUGUGAAACCCACUUCAAGAUGAGAUUUCCCAUUGC